GGGUAGCAGUUCGAGAGUCUUUUCUCCCAGAGAAUCCUGUGGGACAGAAGUAGAAGAAUUGGCUAGGAAAGGAAACUAGCUGAUGGGGACCUACUGCAUGAGGAUGAAGGCUUAAAAGGAUAGCAGUGCUGUUAGGAGAGGAUGGAGAGUGGACUCUUUUAUUACAUACCUGGACUGUGCCAAUGCUGUGUGGAAGUUUAUUUACCUUAUUCUUUUAAUCCAACACAGCCUUGUGAGGCUCAUAUGCUGCUCAUUUUGUGUAGACCCAGACAUACAGCAAACCUUCUAGCUGGAGGCCACACAUUGACUUUGGAAGUGACCAGAAACUCCAUUGUCCUGCAGGUAACUGGAAUGUGUGAAGCAAUGGGUGAUGAGAAAUAGGAGGUAUGGAAGGACAGGCAUGUGUACUCAAGGAUUUAAAGCAAAGUAAAACAAAACAAACAAAGAAAAAGAAAACAAAAAGGUGAGCCUGUAUGUUUGCAACCAAUUUCAGAAAUGAGACUCUGUAUCUCCCAUUAUACAUCUGGGGAAUGUUAAUUAUGCUGUUGGAAAGGUAGCUGGUAUCGAGGUUGAUGGGGAGAAUCCUUCUGGUUUUGGAUGAAAUGAAGGUGACCUUGUAAGACAUCUUUCCCCCAUUUGUCCUAGUGUGUACCUUGCCAUUUCCCACUCAGCAGAAAACCUUCAGAGCUACAGAAGGGUAGCAGAGUCAGACAAAGAUAGAAACUUGAACCGGGCUACACUAUGAGCUGUGUAUCCGGGGAUGAG
rnacentral:lncRNA from 1 species